AACGAACGCUGGCGGCAGGCCUAACACAUGCAAGUCGAACGAUAUAGUGGCAGACGGGUGAGUAACGCGUGGGAACGUACCUUUCACUACGGAAUAGCUCUGGGAAACUGGUGGUAAUACCGUAUACGCCCUUAGGGGGAAAGAUUUAUCGGUGAAAGAUCGGCCCGCGUUGGAUUAGCUAGUUGGUGAGGUAAUGGCUCACAAAGGCGACGAUCCAUAGCUGGUCUGAGAGGAUGAUCAGCCACACUGGGACUGAGACACGGCCCAGACUCCUACGGGAGGCAGCAGUGGGGAAUCUUGCACAAUGGGCGAAAGCCUGAUGCAGCCAUGCCGCGUGAAUGAUGAAGGCCUUAGGGUUGUAAAAUUCUUUCGUCAGGGAUGAUAAUGACCGUACCUGAAGAAGAAGCCCCGGCUAACUUCGUG
rnacentral:rRNA from 1 species